GGAUGUAAGGAUGAUUUAGCUGUAACAUCUGUCACCCCAUUAAUCACCAGGGGUGAUCUGAUUCAUCUGAUCUAGAUGCCCCCUUCCUCCUUCACCAUACCAUGUGCAUCCCUCUCUAAACUGUGACCUUAGCACAAAAGGACAAACAUCCCUGAUAGAACAGAGCAAUUCUUUGCUCUUGGGUAUAUGUGUAGCUGCCCUCCUCUGCUAGAACCUCCAAAUAAGCUCUCAAGUUCUAUUUGUAGGACAAUGUAGGAUAGUCAAGUUUCAAAGACUCCAGACACAUCUAAAUGAGGUAAUGCAUGUGGAAAUAUGACAGAA
rnacentral:snRNA from 1 species